CGCGUAGUGGUGCGGGUUGCGCGCCAGGGUGAUGCGGUCGUUCGGCACGAGGUCGCGCAGGGCAUAGGCCCCGUUCGAGACGAGAUUGCCCGGCC
rnacentral:tRNA from 1 species